rnacentral:rRNA from 1 species
UACGAAGGGGGCAAGCGUUGUUCGGAAUCAUUGGGCGUAAAGCGCGUGUAGGAUGUCUAUUAAGUCGGGUGUGAAAUCCCUGGGCUCAACCGAGGAAGUGCAUUCGAAACUGAUAGACUAGGAGAUGGUAGAGGAAGGUGGAAUUCCAAGUGUAGAGGUGAAAUUCGUAGAUAUUUGGAGGAAUACCGGUGGCGAAGGCGGCCUUCUGGGCCAUUCUCGACUCUGAGACGCGAAAGCGUGGGUAGCAAACAGG